GUCAAGUUAUAUUCUCUGACUUACACAAGAUGUUUUGUGAGCGUGCGGCCAGUCUGCUAGUAAAUGUACAAAUCGUUUUGUGACAUUAAAUCUUACCUGUAAUGGCUAUUAGCCACCUGAAGGACAGGCCGUGGAAUAGCCCCUGACAUCAUGUGUAGGAUGAGGAGAGUCAGCCGACAUUUAGCCGGACGUGCUGUAAUCUGCGAGAUACGCU